CUCAAAAUUCUGAAGUAGCUUAAUGAAGCUAUAAAAAUAGGCAAUUUUCGUUCUUUGUUGGCAUAAGUAAGGAGCACAAGGGGCCAUGGGCAGGACUCCAAAAUCUGUUUAUAUCAUCCUUCUUAUAUUCAUUAUCUUCAUCUUCAUUACAAGCAUGGCAAUAGAAGAUAUUUUCCUGAAAUAUUGCUGGCAUUUGAGCACAACAUGGCAUAAAACAUGUCGAUGGUCGCCACACUGUGAAAAAAAUUGCAGAGAAUUGGAGCAUGCGGAUUACGGAGCAUGCAAGCAGUCUUCUUUGUGGUUCUUCAGUCACAAAUGUUACUGCGUCUUUAAGUGUUGAAUAUGAGAUACGAUACAGUUACCAUCUUUGUACAACUCCCGCCCAAUAUUUUUUCAAAUUAACCAUUUGAUCUAUUUUUCUACAUGUGAGUCAUAUAUAUCCAAUAGUUAUUUCUUGUUUUUUUUUUUUUAAAAAAAAAAAAAAUUGUUGGAAUUGGAUAGGAGUUAUACAAAAGUUGUAAACGUAUCAUAUCUCAUUGAUUAUAGACAAUUUGAAACCGAGGAGAAUGGGUUGUUUUUGGAGGUACUAUGUGAGUUUUCCAUAUGCGCGUUUUAUGACUGUUGUUUUA